rnacentral:snoRNA from 1 species
UUGUCUUGUGAUGAUCAAACUAAUAGUUCUUCUGAUGCGCAAUCUCAUGGCGUGGUGCGGAAGCAAUUUGGAGACCUGAACUGAGGAACC